UACGUAGGGUGCAAGCGUUAAUCGGAAUUACUGGGCGUAAAGCGCACGUAGGCGGCUUUGUAAGUUAGAGGUGAAAGCCCGGGGCUCAACCCCGGAAUUGCCUUUAAGACUGCAUCGCUAGAAUUGUGGAGAGGUAAGUGGAAUUCCGAGUGUAGAGGUGAAAUUCGUAGAUAUUCGGAAGAACACCAGUGGCGAAGGCGACUUACUGGACACAUAUUGACGCUGAGGUGCGAAAGCGUGGGGAGCAAACAGG
rnacentral:rRNA from 1 species